CUAUAUUAAACUUUUAAUCUUGAGUUGAAUUUGUAUGCAUGGCUAAAACUGACAGCAUUCUUUUUUAAUUGUUGCUGGAUAUUUUCUUUUGAGCUGGAAUUUAGUGAUGUCACAUGGGGAUCCAAUAUUGGGAAACAUAUAGUCGUCUUGUUUCUUUUUAUUUAGAUCAAGGUCAAAGUAGAUGUCCUUUAUCUUCUGUCAAUCUUACAAUGUAUUUAGCAUUGUUUAUCGGUGAUUUCUCUUUCUGCCAUUGUUUCUUAUCAAUCUCUUUUUUCUUAAAUGGAAUUUAA